UCCUCAAACCCCCCUGGGGCCCCCCCGAAGCCCCUCUGGGACUCUCCAAAACCCCCCAGCCCCUUCCCCCGCUCCCCCCCGAGCCCUCUCGGACCCCUCCCGGGACCCCCCAACUCCGCCUAAGACCCCCCCGGGGCUGGGUACAGCCGCAGCAGCUCGCUCCGCGCCGCCAUCUUGCCUCCGUGCCGUCACUUCCGGCUGGCAGGCGACGCUCUGGGCUCUCCUCUCGCUGGUCAAAGCCGCUCUAGGCCUCCGAGGUCCUCCAGGCGCCACUGCGAGCGGCUCUGGGCCAAAGCAAUGACUGUGCUCAGCUGCAGGGAUGGAUUUGCCUGCACUCAAGCUGCUGCUGCCAGAGCCCCUCCGUGUCAAUCUGUGCUGCCGUUGGGUUCUGCAGCUCUCUCCAGCAAGCAUGGCAUGAGCUGAAGGAGCAGCAGGAGCAGCAUGGCCGUUCCCCAGGCAGCAGGAGGGUUCAGCCCAGCACCAGCUCAUGCGGGAGGAGCAGAUGCUGAGGAACAUCCCCCACGAGACGCAGGUGGCCAAAGAGGCUGGGUCAGGAGAGUCCCAUUUCAUUCUUGAUGCUUUCUUUAAGAGAGGCAUACAACUGAGCUCCCUCAGAGAAGCAGCAUGAAGUGCAUGAAGGAUGCUGGCUGCACUCAGUACAGACAAGGCACAUUGGAUUGACUACUUCUUCUCUGGCCUUUGGAGUGAAGGAAGGGAAAAACCAGAGUUGAAGAUGUCAGCUCUGUGCCAAAAAGGAGACCUUCUUCACCUGCUUCUCCUGUGCAAGCUCUUCUGUCUGUCUGCUGAGAUGUUUCUGCCUGUUUCUCUGGCAGAGAAGUGUUUGCUUUUUGGGCUGGCGAGCUGACCAUCCGUACUACCGUCGCCUUGAAUGCCUCCAACCAGCAGUGUUUGCUGCCAGACAGACACCUGGAGAAGACAGAGGACAUGGUUAAGUUCAUGAAGGAUAUCUUGGAUGGUGCUGCUGAAGCACAGGCUGGUGAUGGACUUCUGCAACGAAGCAAGAGAGUCAUCUAUGAGGCCAAGGCUGCUGUAAUGGUAGAGUUCAUUGCUUAUUCAGUGAGGUGAUGCUCUUGUCAGUCAAGAAGGACUUAGUUGCAGAGGCUUUAGAAAUGCUUUGAUGUAAGCUUGUUGCUAUGCUGUGCCUAGUGUAUCUAUUGUCACUAUUUAGAACUAGGCUUAAACCAAAUGAACUUCUGGAUUAAAACAGCCAAUCAUGUCUGCCACA